GUUGCGAACAAGGGCCUACACCACAACGACCUGGGUUCAAAACCAGCACGGAGCGUACUGCCAAACACAUCCAUCCCUGUAACCGCAGCGCACUCCCUGACUGUCCAGAUCCCGUCUCCCAACUGUCUCUCCAGGUACCCAGCUGUCCCACCAGGAAAGGCUCAACCAAGAGUCUAAAAAUACAUUUACCUUUUAUCAGUUUUAUUUAUAAGUCCAAGAGCAAAAAUGUAGCUGUAAGAAGAUCCUUCAGACAGAUUUGAACACAAGACCCUCACUCAGUAGCCCACAUCCUUAACCACUGAGCUAUCAGGGAUCAUAACAAUCCCCACUCAACCUAAAAUUUGACAUUGAACUAUCUAGUUGUAACA